rnacentral:rRNA from 1 species
GUGUCAGCCGCCGCGGUAAUACGUAGGGAGCAAGCGUUGUCCGGAAUCAUUGGGCGUAAAGAGCGUGUAGGCGGUCCGGUAAGUCCGUUGUGAAAGUCGAGGGCUCAACCCUCGAAUGCCGGCGGAUACUGUCGGACUAGAGUCCGGAAGAGGCGAGUGGAAUUCCUGGUGUAGCGGUGAAAUGCGCAGAUAUCAGGAGGAACACCGAUGGCGAAGGCAGCUCGCUGGGACGGUACUGACGCUGAGACGCGAAAGCGUGGGGAGCAAACAGGAUUAGAAACCCUCGUAGUCC